UCGGACCAGGCUUCAUUCCUU
rnacentral:miRNA from 8 species